ACCAGAAGCAUCUCCUUCUCAUCUUGCUCAGUGUAAUAUCAAUGUACAUUCGCAAUCUUCAAUUCACAUCACCAUCCAUUUUGGUUGAGCCAUCAAUUCUGGGACUUGGAUCCUGGAAGAACAUGUUUUCCAUCUAUCAUCCUCCUGUAACAUAGUUACAGAUAGGGCUAAUGGCUAUGAUGUAAGAACCAAUUUUAAUAAAUCUGUCUCUUAAAGUACUAUUAACAGUCUGGCUAUGAUGAAUAACUCUUUGUUACCUAAAGACAGUAGAUCUUAGUGAGAAUUACC
rnacentral:lncRNA from 1 species